UACGUAGGGUGCAAGCGUUGUCCGGAAUUAUUGGGCGUAAAGAGCUCGUAGGCGGUCUGUCGCGUCGGCUGUGAAAUCCCGAGGCUCAACCUCGGGUCUGCAGUCGAUACGGGCAAACUUGAGUGUUGCAGGGGAGACUGGAAUUCCUGGUGUAGCGGUGAAAUGCGCAGAUAUCAGGAGGAACACCGGUGGCGACGGCGGGUCUCUGGGCAACAACUGACGCUGAGGAGCGAAAGCGUGGGGAGCGAGCAGG
rnacentral:rRNA from 1 species